GACGAACGCUGGCGGCGUGCUUAAUACAUGCAAGUCGAACGCAGUGGGGACGGGUGAGUAACACGUGGGUAACCUCCCAUCAGAGGGGAUAACACUUGGAAACAGGUGCUAAACCGAUACUGAUGGAUGGACUCGCGGUGCAUUAGCUAGUUGGUGAGGUAACGGCUAACCAAGGCCACGAUGCCUAGCCGGCCUGAGAGGGUGAUCAGCCAGACGGGGACUAAGACACGGCCCAGACUCCUACGGGAGGCAGCAGUGGGGAAUCUUCGGCAAUGGGCGAAAGGCUGACCGAGCAACGCCGCGUGAGUGAAGAAGGUUUUCGGGUCGUAAAACUCUGUUGUUAGAGAGGCGGUAUCUAACCAGAAAGCCACGGCUAACUACGUGCCAGCAGCCGCGGUAAUUC
rnacentral:rRNA from 1 species